UCAUUUUAUUACUUGAAAUUUUGCAGGUGUAGAAAAUUCAGGGGAGGCAACUGCCUCCCCUUCCUCAGUCAUAUGUAGUUACGGCCCUGAAAACUGUUAAUAUUACAAAGGCUAUAGGCAUGAUAGGCAUGGUAGGUAUUGAUAGCAUGAAGAAGCUAAAAACCAACAUUAAAAUGCAUUUGAAUGCCCCCUUGAAUGUUUUUUAGGACUGUAAGAGCCAUCUUACAUAUUCAACCACCAUGGGCAUUUUGAAAAGUUGGAAAGUAGGACAAUUAUAACUUUUUUUAAUGCCCAAACGCUAGUAGAAGAGGCAUUAACUUCUACUGUUGUCACAAUGUUCUCCAUGCAUAUAUGUCUGUCUGUACAGAAAUUGGUUUUUAAUUUUCUUACUUAAGUUUCACACAAUUCUUUUUUUCACAAAACACUGAUUGAUGAUAGUGAUCAAUUUAAUUUGAAAUUGAGUGGCAUUACUUUGACCAUUCGUAAGUUAUCCCCCCUAAUUAUGCAAAAAAUCUUUCUUUUCUAGUCUCUAACUUUAGUUUGUUACAACAAUAAAACUUAUACACUGCUUGUUACCACAAAACAUAUAUGAUCUGAACUAGACUACUAAUAACUAUAGUACACAUAGUAGUUUCAGCACAGAUCAAGGUAAAAUUUGAACUGCAUCACUGUUACUGUUCUUGAGUAACCUGUACUAAUGCUCCUUUAUUAUUAAAUGGAAAAUUGCCAAAUCUAUGGCUGAUCCUACAAACUUUUGUAUACAGAUUAUAUUUUUUUAGAUAUGAUUUACAAACUUCAGAAAAGGUUGAGAAGCUUUUUUAUUCUAGGGAAUAUCAACCUGAAGCAAGUUGUACCAAUGGAAAUGACAGAAGACCCAGUAAGAACACUUCAUAAUUGGGAUUGCAACUUCACCAUCUAAUACAGCAUCUAGUUCAUCAAAGAUGACUUAUGCUGAAGUAGUGAGACUUCUUGUGCGUGCAAAAGGAGACAAAACUAAGACCACCUUUGAUAUUAAGAGAUGGGUUUAAGCUGACAGAAAUAACAGAAUAAAUGUCUCAGUAAUUUCUAACAAUGGAGUUGAAAGCAAAAUAAAACACUAAAAUAUGAAUACUUGCAACUAAGGAAAUCCUUCACCUUGAGCCAUUUGCUGUCGGUGAUGGAUAUAAAUGGCAGGUUGAUCAAGACUUCAAGUUCCGAUACUAGUGUCAAAGAGUGAAGGACAAGAACAAUUUUAAAGAACAGAGAAGACUGGUUUUAUUGUACUUAGUUUUUAGUUUUUGUUAAUGUUUUACCACUAUGAUGGUUAUAGAGUAUAAAUGUAAAAUUCUGGAAAUGUAUUUUUUUUAUAUAUCUGUUUUGUAAUUACUCCUUUUAAGAUAUGUUAUAGAUGUUGUUGGUUUUUUUUAUACCUGUUCCUACUUGAGUACCAAGGACAACUAUUUGAAGUUUUUAGUAAGGUUACUUUCUUUGUAUUUUUUUUAUUGCAUAAGAUUAAGAUGUCAUCCUUGGAUAACUCAGACAUGCAUAUAUGUUUUUUACUUCUUGUUAUGUGUAGUAUUAAUCCCUCCCCACAUUAUAUUUAGUUUUGAAGAAAAAAAAUACCAUACCAUAAGGACUGUCUACUAUGGAUGCCUCUAAAAAAAAAGAUAAUAUUGGCAUACAUAAUACAAAAAAUUAGGAAGACUUCAUACAAAAAAACUUGAAAGUGUCACAUCAGUGAUUCUUUUUGUAUAAUUUUGGUUAGUUUUUAAUCUCAUUUUUCAAUUGAGAUUUUCUUUGUUGCAUAGAGAAUUUUCAAUUUACCUCACAAUGUGAUUUUUAAAUGUUGUAAAUACAGAAAAAACAUACAUAAUAGUCCAGUCAAAACUUAUCCAGUCAAUCUAAGGUUUGACCUCAAACUAAUUGCAACAGAAAAUGUUUCAGUUCUAAUCUAUAUAAAAUUAAGCUCCAGAUAUACACAGAAAAAGGUCCAAUAGAAUCUAACUUGAGGAAAACUCAAAAUCAGCAAUUUUAAUUUCCAACAUUGAAAAGGAAAGAUAACUCAGCAAAAAUGAGUCUUUUUUGUCAGUUUUUUGUUGAUUUUCCUAAAAUUCAUGUAAAGCAUGAUAUUUUAAUUGGGUUAUUAGUUCGUAUUUGACUGUAUUAUAUCAUCUCCCGCACUUGAAAUGUACAAAACCAAAGUGUUAUAGGUAUUUCUAUUGUUUUUGCACAUUUUUCAUUAAAGAAAUUGCAAAUUUGUGGCUUUGUGACCAUUUUGAAAAAAUAAUGUGAAAAUUUGGUAUUAUAUCUUUUUUCAGCAUCUACUUUGUUUAAAAAGACUUCUCUAAUUCUUCCUCAAUUUAUCCCUUUCUGCACCCAUUUUAUUAAAAAAAAAAUAAUCAACAUGUGGUUCUUUUGAUCUCAGUACUUCAUUGGUUAAAAUCUGAUUAUGACGUCAAAUUUUCUUGCUCUCCUCUGAAAUUCCUAUUGUGACGACAUGAAAAAAGGCGACCAUACCUGAUGUCGUCACAUAGAAAGAACACAUCUUUUUGCAGAUCAUUGGAAAUGAAGGAAUAAGUUUGCCUUCAUAAUGUUAGAAAAUCAUUAGAGAAACAGAUUCCACCACCAAAUAUCGUGUAAUACGAUAUUUAUCCACUCUCGACAGUUAAAUUUUAAAUAUUUAAAACGCUCGGGCAAGCCUCGUGUUUUAAAUUUGAAAAUUUAACUGUCUGGAAUGGAUAAAUAUUGUAUUACUCUCGAUGCAGUGGUAGAAUCUAUAUUUAAACCACAAAAAGAAAAACCUAUGCUUAAUUAUUUUUGCUUAAUUUAUUAAAUUUGAGGUUCUUUACCUUGACAUAUUAAAUUUUUUAAUAAAUGGUCAACUAUGAAUUACAGAAUCUUGGUUGAAGCUUGAUAUGAUACACAUUUAGAGUUAUUUUUUAUACUCGAAGGUCAGCUAAAAUAUCAAGAAUCAAUACAUUCUGCUGUAUAGAAGCCAUAAAGUUAUAAUUUUGUAUCAAUUUUUAUUGAUAUUCUGCCUUUUUGGCAGAGUUAUCUCCCAUUGUAAUGCAAAUCUCCAUAGGAAUUAUAAAAUCUUUAUAUUUUUAUAGUCUUCCUCAAGUUAUAUUUUGUUGGACUUUUUUCUGUUUUUUUUGGGGGGUAUAAUGCUUAAGUUUAAAACUUUAUAGUCUUCUGUUGCAAUUACUUUGAGGUAAGGGUCCAAUUUUGGCUUAAUGGACUGGACUAUAAUGAUUAUUAUAUGCUAAUAAUUCAUUUUUGCAAAUGAUUUUAAUUAAAUUUAUGAUAAACAUAUUUAAUAUUUAAUAUUUUAUGCUUGUUGAUUGUUGAUGUUGUGUGUUGAAAAACAGAAAGAUUGAGUCAAAGGAUUCAGAGUUACAAGAGUGAAAGUCAAUAAGUCAUUAUCAAGGAAUUUACAAUUAUCAAAUGUAUAAAAGAAAUUCAUUAAAUAUUGUCUCUUCUAAAAUAAAUUGCUUGUGCAUUAUCAAUUUUUGAAAAUGGUAAACUUCUUAAUUAAUUAGUGUGGUCUAUAUUAUAUAAUAAAAAUGCUUAUUGAAUUAGUCUUUCUAUUUAACAAAACAACCCUCAAAACCUCUUGUGACCUCUUGCUCUAUAUUUUAUGGUAGUUUGAAUACCUUUUUGUCUAUUUUGUUUUAUACCAUAAUAUAAUGCAUGAUACAUAUAAACUGUGCUGUAUGCAUGUCACUAAUGUAUAGAUAAUUUUCUUUAAAUGUUGUAUAAACUUUAUUCAGGUAUUUAUGCUACUGCAUUCAUUAACCUAUAUACAAAUUUAGAAAAAAAAUGAAAGUUUUAUAAUAAAGAACAAAAUUAAUUAAA